rnacentral:lncRNA from 1 species
AUUGAUUCAACUUUUUUCCUGAACAAGUGACAAGUCACACAUUUUUGCCAAAAAAAAAAUUGUGAGACCAAAUUAGCCGCGAUUAAACAAUAAAGUUCUACUGAUGAAAAGUUGCCUAUGAUAAAUGAGGUGAGAUGGGAAAGAGUAAAAUAGCAUAGCAUUUAGCAUGCAUGGUUAGUGAUUACGAUGGCAGAGAUAAGUUUCGUGAUACCUUUUUAGCACAGCUUCGGCUCCAAGAAUUCUUCGAGAGGGGUAUUCCUAGCUUCGAAGCCGGAGCUGGGGAUAUAUUGAGAUAUUUAUAUGAGCCCUUUUGAUUUGAAUUUAGACUAAAAAUAUAUAUAACCUACUUUAUUUUGAUUUACAAACUCUAUAAUUAACUUGGAGAUAGGAGCUGACUUGUAUCAAUUGGGCUGCUUCAACUUUUCUCAACAAGUAAACAAGCCACGCUCUUUUUUUUUUGGCAAAAAAUGAGAGACCAAAUAAGCCGUGUAUAAUUAUGAAAGUUUUUACCCAAGAAAAGCCACCUACAUGAAAUGAAGUAAGAUGCCAAAUACUCUCUCCGUCCCAC